rnacentral:rRNA from 1 species
CUAGCCGUAAACGAUGGACACUAGAUGUUGCCCGUAUAGACCCGGGCAGUGUCGUAGCUAACGCGUUAAGUGUCCCGCCUGGGGAGUAUGCACGCAAGUGUGAAACUCAAAGGAAUUGACGGGGGCCCGCACAAGCGGUGGAGUAUGUGGUUUAAUUCGAUGCAACGCGAAGAACCUUACCAGGGUUUGACAUGUCCGGAACCUCGGUGAAAGCUGAGGGUGCCUUCGGGAACCGGAACACAGGU